CGGGGUGCAGCAGGCGCGAAAACUCUACAAUGCAGGCAACUGCGAUAGGGGAACAUCGAGUGAUACUCAUCUUGGGUGUCUGUCCUCCCGUCUAAAAAACGGGAGUUAGCAAGGGCCGGGCAAGACCGGUGCCAGCCGCCGCGGUAAUACCGGCGGCUCGAGUGGUGGCCGAUAUUAUUGAGUCUAAAGGGUCCGUAGCCGGCUUUGCAAGUCUUUUGGGAAAUCCAGCGGCUUAACCGUUGGUCGUCCGGGAGAUACUACAUUGCUUGGGACUGGGAGAGGUAGGAGGUACUCAGGGGGUAGGAGUGAAAUCCUGUAAUCCUUUGGGGACCACCGGUGGCGAAGGCGUCCUACCAGAACAGGUCCGACGGUGAGGGACGAAAGCUAGGGGCACGAACCGGAUUAGAUACCCGGGUAGUCCUAGCCGUAAACGAUGCUCGCUAGGUGUCACAACAAUCGUGAAUUGUUGUGGUGCCGUAGGGAAGCCGUGAAGCGAGCCACUUGGGAAGUACGACCGCAAGGUUGAAACUUAAAGGAAUUGGCGGGGGAGCACAAGGGCGAAUCG
rnacentral:rRNA from 1 species